rnacentral:rRNA from 1 species
CGCGCAGGCGGUCCUUUAAGUCUGAUGUGAAAGCCCACGGUUCAACCGUGGAGGGUCAUUGGAAACUGGGGGACUUGAGUGCAGAAGAGGAAAGCGGAAUUCCACGUGUAGCGGUGAAAUGCGUAGAGAUGUGGAGGAACACCAGUGGCGAAGGCGGCUUUCUGGUCUGUAACUGACGCUGAGGCGCGAAAGCGUGGGGAGCAAACA